CCCGCCCCACCGUCUUGAUUUGGUAGGCGUAGGAUUGGAUCUGAGUCGCACGGGCUUGAGGUGCGUUGGGUUCAACUCGUUGGGCUUGCGCGGUCGGUUGUGCUCGCCUCCCAUAUGAUAUGAUUUGCUUGUUGUUGAAUUGGGGUAGGAUGAUUGCUUCACGCGGUCCUGUAUUUCUGGUAGAUUCGUCCUUGUCUUUUGGUUUACGCUAAUGAUAUAGAUGGCACUAGCAGUUCGGUUCUCAGAUUGAUGGCGAUUAAUUUAGGUUACAAAUGAACUUGAGUGGCUGCCUACCUGCCUGCAAAUGUUGUUCUCACGAAAUUGGUACUGUGGCAUUUGAACUCUACUAUCCUAUGCUUUUUUAAUUAGUUCUUCUGUUCUACCCCAGCAAGCUAAUCUAUUCUCCUAAGUACAAAAUUCCUAGAUUUCCUAUUACCGGGAGUUAGACAAGUCGAUGUGGGUACAAGUAAAUAUUCAUUAGAUGAGCAUGAGUAGCUGCGCUUCUUUAGGUAACUCCCUAACUUGAUGGUCCGUACUCUGUUAACCUAUUUGAUACAUUCUUGCGUUGUAGAGCUGACUACAGUCCAAACAAUGAUCUAUGGGAGCAGGAUUUAUGCUCAAGAGAAGAUGGUUUCAUAGGAAGGACCUGGAGGUUAUAUAUGUUUUAUAUUUCCGCGUUACGGUGAUAACAGAUUAAUAGCAACAUCAGAAUUUCCUUGGUUCUAUUAUAUUACUUCUGUAUGCAUGAUACACAUUAGAAAAAAAACUCCACCUUGGUUGCCAGAAAACUCAUAUCAAUCUGUUGGCCUCAUUGUCUGCUAAAAAAUCAUGAAUGGAAAUUUGGAUUCUAUUAUCAAUGGCAUUAAAGAUAUAAAUAGCAUGGUCGUUCUUUAAGACAGUGUUUAAUUUGAAAUCAUUUAACAAGUGAGGCAGGUUCAGUUUUGAACAAUGCAAGUAGGAUGCAAGGGAUAAACAGGAAAUCUGCUAGGCUGAUGCGCCGGAGAGACGUACCAGGAGGCCGACCAGUCCGUGGUGUCGCCGCCGUCGUCCUCGUCCCUCAUGCACAGCGACAGAGAGAGACGAUCUGUCUGGAGAUCGAGUAUAGGAUCUAGUACUGGUAAUAUCCUGCAGGCGUUGGAAGAGUACCUGCCAGUCUUGCUAGGAUUGGUUAAAGAAGAGGCAUGGAACAUGCUCGGCCCCUGCUGUACAGGAAGAAUUACAGUACUUCACUACUGCCCGUGAUCUCUACAUCAGAUAUAAUGUUACAGGAAUACUGGCGAUCGGGGAUAUCUUGAUCUCCAACGGUAGAAAAUGUGCACUCAGUGAUGUCAUUCAUACUAUUGAUACUAUCAAACAUUCGUUUGGGGGCUCACUGCAGAUCAUCUGCAAGAAGAGCUCAGUUCAAGAACUAAGGCUAUGCUUUGCCAAAGAUUUGAAGGUGAGUUAUCUUUUGUCCUUGGAAAGGUCUCCUUGGUUUUCAUUUUUAUUUGCAUGAACACAACUUUACUGCUUAAGGACGAAUGUUGUCACAACAAUUCUCGGGACAAUGAUCUUACUUGGUAAUUCGCGCAGCACCAGUGCUAAUCAACUCAUAUGAUUUAGAGCUUUGAAGGAUUUUAAACUUUAGAUCUCAGUACCAGCUUUGCCCGAGAAGAAGAAAUCAAAUUGAUCUCAGUAUAAGUACAAAUGCAUUUAUGAGAUCUUUCAACUUAUAUCACCAUUUUGUUUAUUUAUGCUGCUCAUAAAUUUUGUUUCAUUUUUUUAAGUUGUUAUUUCUGGCCAUGCAUUAUCUUUAUGGAUGAAAUCGAUGAAAUUUGUGGGAGAAAAUUUAGUGAGGGAACCAGUGAUGACUUCCCGCGGAUGCGGAUGGAGCUUCUUAAUCAGCUGGAUGGAUUUGAUGAGCUUGGCAAGGUAGACUGACAUCAUCAAGUAUUUUUCUUCUCUAGAUGCCUUUAUGCCAUAUAUGCAAAGGAUUGGAUUCAAUCGAAGUUAUUUGCUUGCCUGAAUGUAUGUGUGAUAUGCACUCUAGCUUUCCUGGCUCCUGGUUAAAGUAUGGCAGUCUCGAGACGAGUUUUACAGAUUAAGUUUAUUGUUCAUCUUUUACAGAUGGAAUAAAAAUUGAGGACUUGAUUGUUGACAUGCCAACAGAAGUGCCUAAUUCUCUGAUAGGCUUUGGUUCUUAUGAUACUUUCUUACUGGGCUUGUUUUAUUUUAUUUUGGGAAAACCCAUGAUUUUAUCCUAACCCGAAAUUGCUGAGGUAGGAUAAGAGUAAUGGGAAUCCAAGCCCAAUUCUCCAUUUCAAUGUACACAAAAUUACUGAUGCAUCUCCAUUUCAAUGUACACAAAAUUCAGUUGGAGUAGACUCCAAAUCUACAAAUCAUUCUUCCUACAAAAAGUAGAAACAGAGCCUAUCGACACAACCAGAACACUCUUUUAACUCUUAAACUUAGCAAGCAGUAACUAUCCAGAGUAGUUCUUCAGAGCUCUAUCGACACAACCAGAGUAGUUCUUUAGAGCUCUAUUCAGCCUGACAUCAAAGGGAGUCAAGUAUCGCUUCAGCUUUCUAUCCUGCAACAGAUAAUUAAAGAUUGUCAGAAGGUUGAAGGUGGAAUCGAACUCCGAGCUCGAGGCCGCUGCGGUUUAGUGGUGACUGGUCGCGCCCGAUCUAGGUAAAAUCUUCGUCUGAUUUUUGGUCCACACGACGAUGAUCUGUUUUUUCGGGAGUUUCUUCAGGAUCCGCUCGUGUGCCAGAGCCGGCUCAGGAUGCCUUCCUGGACGAUGACGAAACAAGCUUGAAGCGAGUGGAGCGCCGAAGGAGGAUCUCGGGGAUGAAGGAGGCAUCGGCGACGACCUCAGAAAAGAGCGGCAGGGGGCCGCGCCCGUGCUGGUGCUGUCGCUGACGCUCCACUCCACUUGGACGGCAGCAAUUGGGAGCUGCCUUAGCGUACUACGUGUUGGAGGACAACGGCGUGCAGGUCAUGUGCCUGGUGCUAGACAUGAUGGCCGGGACCAAACCGUCAUCCGCAACUACUAGCAGCAGAACACAGAAGUCGUCUAUGACCUUGACAGGACAUGCUGGCCUUUGUGUCGGCGCAGUGCGACAAGCUCGCAGCAUCACUAUAGUGUUUUUGUAGAGAGAUAGAAUUUGUAGUACCGAUCAGGUGAAAUGCGCCAAUGUGGCAAUGGUACUGAACUGAAGCAACGGUCUUUUUUAAUGAAAUGUGCUCUCGAUUGUAAAGCUAGCCAAAAAGGGCUGCUGGAUGAGCAUUGUCCUA